CAGCGAAAUGCGAUAAGUAAUGUGAAUUGCAGAAUUCCGCGAAUCAUCGAAUCUUUGAACGCACAUUGCGCCUUUUGGUAUUCCGAAAGGCAUGCCUGUUCGAGCGUCAUU
rnacentral:rRNA from 1 species